rnacentral:tRNA from 1 species
GGCUCUGUGGUGCAAUGGAUAGCGCAUUGGACUUUGAGGCUGUGAGCUGAGCCAUUCAAUGGUUGUGUGCUUGAAUCCCACCAGGGUCG